GCAAGUUACUGCUACCUGCAGCUACUUUCAGAAAGCAGUGGCACGCCUGUAAUAAGGCCCACUUCAAAGAAUGCAUUUUCAAGAAACAUCUUGCUAUUUAACUGGAAAGUGUUGAAUAGUUUUACACCAAAAUAUCCUACUGCUAAAAUUAUUUUGAGUUCUGUCUACUUUACAGGGUGGCCCAACCAUUAAUUCCAUCUGGUUUGCUAUCUUUGCUGUGGGAAGAGCUGUUGUAUGUCAAAUCGAAUAGCUGAGCAUUUUCCACUUUGCAGAGUCCUAAAAAUGGAACCUGAUCUUCCUUACAAAGAGUUGGGACCAUCUUGCUACUCUGGUACAGAAAACAAUAUUGAAAAAUAUUGACUAUGCAGCACCCUGAAAGUCAACGAAGACUAAAAAUCCAUCCUUGGAUUUCAUUAUAAACUUCACCAUUAUGUCUCAGAUGCUCAACUAUCAUCUCCAUCAGGAAGAGUAGCCUUAACUACUUCAUGUGGCAGGAGCAGCCUUUCAGAACCCGAAGUCAGCUUGAAUAUCAUUGGGAGUGACAGGUAACUUUCAAAGGGCUCAAUUACACUCAAACAUACAAGUACACAUGGCUACCAUUGAAGCCAACAAAAGUCAUCUCUCCAGGGAGAGGCAGGCUCAAGAGAGGCAGGGAGUCAGAGUCUAGUCCUAUUGAGCUGAACUUGGGGCAGGGAGUAGCCGAGAUAAAAUGAGUUUACUGUCCUUUAAACUUGGAGACAGCAGGGAAGUAGCUGGUUGCUCAGUUUUGUACCUAAUUGGUGAUUUUUCUUAAAUAUGGUUGAUUAUUGAUCCAAGGGGUUUUCUGGCAGACACAGUCAGUGAGGCAGAGUGGUCCCUGCCACCAGGGGAUCAGGUAGCUGGCCUUCAGAUUGCUUUGUGCUGCCAGAAAACCCCAGAGAUGCCUAUAUUAGGGAAAGAGUCCGACUCCAGGGAUGCAAGCCAUGUGAAAAUUUUAAUAUGACAAGGAGAAAAUAUGAGUUUAAUGUACUGAAGCCCAAAGCUUCUGUAAGCUAGUGGAUUGCUGAAUCAGUUGCUAAACAAAAACCUUCAUUUCAUUUCACUGAUGUUAGUCUAGUCCUCUUUUUUAUCUGGGUAUUCAAGCUUCCUAGGAAGUGCCUGCUUUGUGCUAACAAAAGGCCUAUAUUCUUUGUAAGUCUUCAUGAGGAGACCAGGCCUUUCCUAUCUUCUGAUCAGAAAUUCAAUAAAAAUCCCUGCAUGUUAUUCCCAAAAUACCACUUUAUAUUUUCUAUAAUAUCAAGUUAAUUUCCCUAGCUUUAAAAUGCAUAAGCUACCUCUUUAUUGACUAAAGCACACUUUGUUACAAUUUGGGGUCUGAUUUCCCCUAUAUUGUGACUAGGGCAAUAAACAUGACAUUGUCAAAGUGCUGGUACAGUUCUGGAAAUGAAUCUGUGUUUCUCUAUAUAAUUAGGAUGUCAACAGUUACAACUAGCAGGGUGGAUAAGCUAAGACCCAUAUUCCAGGGAAUCUACCCUCUGCAAUUGGAGUGGUUGGAAAAAGAGAUAACCUCUGCAGUGACCUUUGAGACCUACUUGAAAUCUAAAGUGACUCAAAACCAAAUCCCUGAAAGAGGAAAAGAUCAUGGACUAAUUAUCUUAAGUCUGAGGAGCCUGCCUGCGACAGUCAGUAGCUUGGUUUUUGCAAAAAACUAGAUCAAAAAUGUGGGGACAAGAUGCAUGUAAGAGUUAGAUUGGC